UUAACAUUCAAAUGAAUCCAAAUAAUACAUUCACAAAUGGAAUCAUGGCAUUAUGGUACACUGAUGUGCGUGUACCAUUUUACUGUUUAUCGUUGCAUUACUAGAUAUAACAUGCAUACAAAAAGAGACAAAACACGGAAAAUCAUUAUUCUGUUUCUAAUUAUAAGGUAUGUAAGUGUUUUAAAUGCUGACAAAUAAGAUAUGAUGGCCAAUACUGAUUUUAUUUGCAUUUUUAUUUUCAGAUAUGGGACCUGAUUAUUAAGAGAAUUGCAGAUUUUAUGAAGCUGUUUUUGACAGAAGAUUUGGUUUUCUCCAUCUGUGUUGCCACCAACCAUUAUGCCGUGAUGGUCAUAUCUAGGGGGAAGGAUUGUCAUAUGCUUCCCAAGGCAGUUCGAAGCCUCUCACUGAAGAGGAACUGUACAGAUUUUUGGGCAUUAUCUUAUACAUGUCUGCUGAGAAGUUCCAGUCGAUAGACAGAUAUUGGUCAACGCAUGCCCCUAUCGGAACAACCUAGUAUCAAGAAUUAUGUCUAGAAAUAUGUUUUAAGAGGUUGAAUAUAAGAAGAACAAUUUUUAUUAAAUAUAAUGCAAGUACAUUUAAAUUUAGUGAUUGAAAGCAAGGACUUGAACAUUCGUAUACAUGUACAAUGAACUUGGGGAGGAAAAACGGGCAUUAUUUUCGCAUAGCAUUUGAUAUCAUAAUGGUGUUGUUGCUUAGCAACCAAAUAUAUUUAAAUAUAAAAAAAAUUGAUUUUUUUUUUUUUAGAUUUUAACAGGAAAGAUCUUUGUUUUAAUGUUGCAAUAUUUAUACUAUUUAUUGGGAUACAAUGGCAACACGUCAUAUUAUUAGAAAAUGAUGAAUAUGUAUAUGAAGUACGAAAUUUUCAUUUUAUGACCUUUGACCUUAAUUCUCUUCAUUAUAUUUUUUGUUAAAACCUUUUAAAAUGAUUAAGAUCUAGUCAAAGAUUAUAUUUUUAAAAUAAUGUGACAUUUACUAAUCAUCAUGCAAUGUAAUUAUGUUUGAAUUGUGUCGAAUGGAUGUAGAAAGGCAAAUUAUGGUCAAAAUUACACCAUGAGUGAUGUUACUUAGCAACCAAAAAUAUUUGUUUUUCAAUAAAAUUGAUUAAUUUGAUUGUGAUGUUUUUGUAGUAUUUUAAAAGACAUAUCAGUUCAUAAAUUUAGAAUUUCCUAUUUUUGACUCGAAUCCAGUGAGAGGGGUCGUAAUAUAUAUAUUCCAGAGAAAAAAGACUGCAAAAAUGUGCACUUAAAUGACCUUUGACCCCGUAGAACUCUUUGGGGUCAUGGGAUAACAUGACAAACUUUAUGAAAAAAAUGUUCCCUGUCCAAUUCGUAACAAAAUUAUAUAUCACAUGCCUACCUAAAAUCGUGAUACAUGCAGAUGUAACUCGAUUUAAAAAUAUUGUCAUUUAGUCUUUAAAAACCUCUAAAAUGUGCCGGUAGAGAAAGGGUUAAGGACAAAAUACUAUUUGAACUAAUCAAAUGUAUGCUCAUUUGAUAUUUACUCGUUAAGUAACAAAAAACAUACAAUCCUGAUUUUUUUUCAUAGAAUAUAUAAUUAUUAUUAUUAAAUUUGUAAUAGGAUGGACAGGGUUGUAUAACAGGGACAGAGAACAUAAAAUUUUAACUUUAACACUCAGGACCUGGGUAUACAUCACUUGAAUAGAAUGAAAUGAUUAAUUUCUGGUUUUCCUUCAAAAUGCAACUAGUAUGAUAUUAAACCACUUGAAUACUUGGCAACACAUUGACAUGCAUUACCAAAAUGUGGCAGCAUGAACAGAACAAUUGUCGCAGAGCAUAUAUAUUGAUCAAAACAUUUGCAGAGCAUAUAUUGCAUCAAAACAUUUGCAGUUUGCUGCAUGCAAAGAGAGAAUUGAGACAAGCAUGGAAACAAAAGUUCUCGCAUCACUAAGUUUAUACACAGUCAUAUCUUAUUCCACCAUUUUAAAAUUAUCCAAAAUUUGCAAUCCUAAUGCGAGAUCAGAUGAUAUGCAUCACUUUGUCUUGGCAAGAAACUUAAUUACUACAGAAAGUGACAUGUUAUAGCUAUAAUUACGAAGUUUGAUCAGUUCGAAAAAAAGACAUUCUUACUUUAAAAUAAACAAUGAGACUUGGAGUGGUAUUGUAGGAAAUUGAAGAAAUAGAAGUUCAUAAAGUUAACAUAGUUUAUCCGUCAUCAAUAUAGGAAGGACCUAGAUAAUACUCGAUUUAUUUCUUCAGUUUUGCUAAAAAUCAACAUUCCUAAUCUCAUUAGAUUGAAAUUAAAUGUUGCAGUGUAUAAUGUAAAUGUAUUAAAUUUGAACAACUGAGAGUGCCAUCAUAUUUGUCAUGUUUAAUAUAUAGACAGGAGAAUUAUCCCUGUUGUUGUGAAAUGGUCAUCAUUUUCUGUACCUUGUUUAUCCCAUUGUCAUCUCUUAGUGCUAACUGAUUAAAUGUCUCUCCUGUAACAUUCAUUUAAUUAGAUCAAACGAUGUUUUGAUGGG